AUGUACCCACGUACACUCCGGUUCCUCCGCGCCGUCCGCACCCACCUGACAACUGCUCGCUACGUUUUGUUAGCC
rnacentral:sRNA from 1 species